AGCUUUGUGAGUUGGGGAGGUGCCCUGAAUUCUGUGUGUAAUUUUAACAUUUGAAAUAGCAGGCAGAAGCACACGUGUUCGCUUUAUUGCAUAUACUUAAUUUAUUUCUGCCAAAAAUGUAUAAGAAGCAAGUUCAAAUCCUGACUUUGACAUUUAUUUGCUAGUUGUGUGAGCUCUUGCCAUUAUAUUUAGCCUUGCUCUCUGAGCUUCGUGUUCCUGGGUUCAAAAAAAAAAAAAGCAGAACAAAACUCAUAGUUACAAGGUUUUCUUGCAUAAUUGUCUGUAAAGUACUCAGUGUACAGUUCUUGCUACAAAGCAAUUUGGUAAUGGUAGCUUUUAUCCUAAUUAUUAGAGAGGCAGUUGGGUAUGGUAGUGAUGGUGACAGUCCUGGCAGUGACAGUUACUGAGUGCUUUCAGUGUGUCAGCUGUUCUUCCAAGUACUGUGUAUCAGUUAGCACAUUUAAUCCUCAUGAUAACCCAAGGAAGUAGAUGAUGUCAUAACCUCUUUAUUGAUAAUACAUGCAGGCACAGAGAGGUUAACUAACUUGUCCACCAUUGACUGGCUAACGAACAGAAGCAGAGUGGGGCCUUUAGAAUCAGAAUGUCUGGCUGGCCCAGUUGCAUACCUUCUGGUGGGGUGACCAACCAUGAAGUAUUUAACCAUCAAAUAAACGCAUGAUACAGAACCUCCACCACCCUCAGACAUUGCUGUCUAGUGGCGUUUAAUAGUAGUGCUUAGGCCUCAUUUGCUGAUUAACUAACUAGAGAGGUGAGUCUGAGGUUCCAAAGAGUUGUGAAAGUCAAGGUAGAUGUUAUUGUCAAUGUUUUUGACGUGCUUAAUGUUGGAGUUUAAACAACACCCCCAUAUCAACGACCUGAGAGGCACAGUGUAAAAAACAAAGGGAGAGACCAAAGUACCAUUGGGCCCAGCUUGUUUCUCCCCUCAGUUCCUGGCCAUUCGGUUCUUCCAGUUGUUCCUAGGAAAAGCUUUGGAGUCCUCCUUGAAGCCUGUCCUAUGAAACCUGUAUCCGGCCUACCUACCUGUCUGUGGGCUUGACCUACAGAGCAAAUGCAGGAUCUGAACGUUUCUCAUACCUCCUGGCUACUGCUUGGGUCCAAGUCAUUGUCACUUUUGGUCUUGAUGGCCACUUAUCUGUUCUCUCUACAUGUGCCACAAACCCUCUUGUGUCUGCUUCUACAAGGCAACUAGAAUGCCUUUUUUAAAAAUUGAAAUUGGAUUACUUAUUUUUCCUUGAGCUAACCCUCCAUGGUCCUUAUUUUCCCUCAGGGAGAAAGAUCCUUACAAAGCCUGAUACAAUCUGUCACUGUCACCCUUACUUCCUCCCUUCUUACCUGCUCUGAAUGGCGCCAGUGGCCCUGCUACCUCCUAGACCAUGUCAGUCUCUUGAAUGCCUUUGGGUUACUCAGAACUUCCCCUAAAGUAUAGCUAGUCCUUAACUUGCAACAGUUUAACUUAGAUUUUCUUUUUUUGGUGAGAGGAGAGGCUUGAGACAGGGUUUCAUGUAGCCCAGGCUGGCCUCAAACUUGCUGCACACUGGAGGGAGGGAUGUUCUUGAACUUCCGAUCCUCCUGCUUCUACACUGAACAUGCUGGGAUUACACGAAUGUGCUACCAUAUCUGGUUGCAGUAGAAAUAAGAAAGUUAUUAUGUGCCUGUGCAUUUUCAUGAGCCAUGAUGCACGUGUGGAAAGGUAUAGCCUGUGGAUAGUCAGUUCUUUCCUUCUACCAUGUGGGUCCUGAGCAUGGAUCUCAGGUCACAAGGCUUGGUUAUGAGUGCCUUAACCCACUGAGCCAUCUCACCAGCUCCCAACUCAGCGUGUUUUAUGAUAGUGUAAAAGUGCUACACAUUCAGGGGAAACUCUGGAUUGUGAUUUGUGAUCUUUCCCUUGCUUAGUGAUAUAGAGUUGAAGACUUUUUGCAUUGCUGCAUUGAGCAGUGGUCCAUAGCUCCCAGCCAGCCAGAUGAGAUGGCCAAUACUUUAUCAUCAGUUAAGCCCACUGUAGGUGAAGGUAGGUGUCCACAGCAGGUUCGAGGUAAGCUUGGGUAUUUGGUGGUGCAGGUGUUUUAGUGUUAUUCAGCUUUAGAUUGUAAAGGGUUUGUUUGGGCAUAGCCCACGUCCUGCAGCUCCCUCGAAUUCCUGAUCGAUCUUUAACCCUAAUCUAUUUUUACCCAAAGCAUUGAUUUGUCUCUGUUAUACAAGUGUUGCUCCUUUCUAAGCGAGGAGUCAGGUUGCUUGAGGAAGCUUGCCUGCUUUGUUACCUAUUGUCUCUCUAGCCUCUGUGGCAGCACCUGGGUACGCAGGAGGGUCAAGAAUAAAACCCUAUGGUCAAUUUUGGGGGUUGUGCUCUGUGUAUUUGGGCUGGAGCAAGACAAGCUGGCCUAUAAGGAGGUGUCCACUGGCAUCCUCUUCCUGAUCAAUGGGUAGCUCCUGUUGUUAAGUCCCUUUUAGGGAUCAGGCAGAGAAAGGACAAUUCAUUAGUGUAAGGUUGUGUUUCCCCAAGGUUGUGUGCCUGCUGUGCCUGGUCUUACAGUCUGUGUUCCUAUGAACUCUUAACCCCAAUUCCUUCUGUCCCAUUGGCUCAAGCCCUAUUCUUAAAAGAAUAAGAAUGUAGUUUGACUGGGGUUUUCAAGGAGCUUUGAGCAUAGUUUUUUUUUAAAAAACAAACAAACAAACAAACAAACAAAAAACAAAACAAAACAAAAAAAACCCCAAAAACCUAUGAGCAUUUAAAAAAACCCAAAAAACCAAAAGGUCUCAUGUAUCUCAGGUUGGCCUCAUUAUUUAGCCCAGGAUGACCUUGAACUUCUGACUCUCCUGUCUGUACCUAAAUGUUGGAAAUAUAGGCAUUCACCACUGUUCUCAGUUUAUAUGACGCUGGGGAUUGGACCCAGGGCUUCAUGCAUUCGAGGGAAGUACUCUACCAACCUAGUUAUAUCCCCAGCAUCCCAUCUUGCUUUUUGAGUUAUUGCUACAGUGUAACUAAGCCUUCAAAAAUGAAGAUUGUCAGGUCUGCAAAGUAGAUGAAAAUAUUUAUUUUUUAUUUAUGUGUAUGUAUCUCCGAAUUUAUGUACCUGUGGAGGCCAGAGGAGGCAAUAAAUUUCUGGCAACCGUAGUUGCAUGCAGUUGUGGGCUCCCUGAUGUGGGGGCUGGGAACUGAACCUGGGUCUCUAUGGAAAGUGGUUACUGUGUUUAACUGACAAGCCAUCUCUCUCGCCCCUAUGAAGUAGCGUUUUAAAAGCGACUUAUUUAUUUUUAUUUUAUGUGUAUGAGUAUUUACCUGCAUGAAUGUGUCUGGUGCCUGUGGAGACCAGUCCUGGAAGUGGGCUCUGUGGUUACUGAGACUUCAACUAAUGAAUCAUUUGAAUGCAGCUGUAUUUUUGGAUUCAUUGUGGAGAAGCCCCUUUCAAAGCCUGAAAGCGAGCCGCACCAGAACCUUCUUUCUCGUCUAGUGAACCAGCAUUCUGCAGAGACACAGGUACUGCCUCUUCACACUGCACAGGAUCAGAAACAAUUUUUUUUUUAAAGUUAAAAUAAUCCAAGCUUGUGUUGCCACACAAACAACAAAGUAGGCCAGGACAUUCGAAGAGCCAGUGUUUGCUCUACCCACCCACAGACUUGGAAAGAUGCAGAACGGGAGAAGUCGGAAGCCAGUGAGGUAAUGCCAGCUUCUUUUAGUGGCUCCCUUUAAUUUUAGUAAGUCCGGAAGACGAUUGGAGGCUGAUGGGUGUUUUAGUAGGACUAACACCUCAACAAUUUCUUUUAGGAAAAAAAAAUUCAUU
rnacentral:lncRNA from 1 species